AAGUGCUGGGAUUACAGGCGUGAGCCACCGCACGCGGCCCAGAAUAGGGAGAAUUUCUUUUUCUUUUCUGCUGUGAAUCAGGGCUACUGGCUUUGCCAGAGACUUUUGGCUGGGAACCCCAGAAUACCUGGCCAUCCCAGGCCCAUAAUACCAGCUCUGUCCCCCUAGCCCCUUGCCCAGCAGCAGCCCCAGCCAGCAGCUCCGGGAGACUGUGUGUCACUCCCUCUA